rnacentral:rRNA from 1 species
AUACGUAGGGGGCGAGCGUUAUCCGGAUUUAUUGGGCGUAAAGCGUGUGUAGGCGGUUUGUUAAGUUUAAGAUUAAAGCCCGAGGCUUAACCUCGGUUCGUCUUAAAAACUGGCAGACUUGAGUGCAGUAGAGGCAAGUGGAAUUUCUAGUGUUGCGGUUAAAUGCGUAGAUAUUAGAAGGAACACCAGUGGCGAAGGCGGCUUGCUGGGCUGUUACUGACGCUGAGACACGAAAGCGUGGGGAGCAAAUAGGAUUAGAUACCCUAGUAGUCCACGCCGUAAACGAUGAGUACUAAGUGUCGGGUAACCGGUGCUGAAGUUAACACAUUAAGUACUCCGCCUGAGUAGUACGGUCGCAAGGCUGAAACUCAAAUGAAUUGGCGGGG